rnacentral:lncRNA from 1 species
AAAAACUUUCACACUACCCAACCUCCACGCCUUCACCCCAUCCCACACAUACCCCGACUCGGAUACACUAUUCGGUAUUCACCCGCACAUAUAGAUACGUAGGAGUGUAUGUAUUCCUUGCCUCCGAUCUUUUAUUCGCCAAGAUUAUUGAGUAAGUCUUUUCUCUCUUUUCAUUUAUACAGAAGAAGGUAGAUACAACCGGUAUAUGAUUGGGUAUAUAGUAUAUAUGCAUGCAAUUGAGUAGUUAUUGGAAUAAUUGAUAUGGGGCAUAAGAAGCGAAAUCUUGCUUCACGCUCCAAACCCUCACAGCCACCGUCCGCGCCGCCACCGUCCUCUGCAAUCGUCGCCGUCGACAAUAGUGCAACGUUUUCGGCUAAUAUACCAAAUCCCACCACAAAUAUAGUUGAAAAAACUGAGGCCCUAGAUUCGGAAAGCAAGAACGAUGCAAACCCGUCAUCGUAUAGUACAAUCAAGUUCGAAUGUGAGAAGGCCCUCACGACACUGCGGCGGGGGAACCAUAC